CAGGAAGACCACCAGUGGCGAAGGCUGUCUGCUAGAACGCGCCCGACGGUGAGGGAUGAAAGCUGGGGGAGCGAACCGGAUUAGAUACCCGGGUAGUCCCAGCUGUAAACGAUGCAAACUAGGUGUUUGAACGGCCACGUGCCGUUCUAGUGCCGCAGGGAAGCUGUUAAGUUUGCCGCCUGGGGAGUACGAUCGCAAGAUUGAAACUUAAAGGAAUUGGCGGGGGAGCAC
rnacentral:rRNA from 1 species